AGUGAACGCUGGCGGUAGGCCUAACGCAUGCAAGUCGAACGGCAGCACAGUAAGAGCUUGCUCUUACGGGUGGCGAGUGGCGGACGGGUGAGGAAUACAUCGGAAUCUACUUUUUCGUGGGGGAUAACGUAGGGAAACUUACGCUAAUACCGCAUACGACCUACGGGUGAAAGCAGGGGAUCUUCGGACCUUGCGCGAUUGAAUGAGCCGAUGUCGGAUUAGCUAGUUGGCGGGGUAAAGGCCCACCAAGGCGACGAUCCGUAGCUGGUCUGAGAGGAUGAUCAGCCACACUGGAACUGAGACACGGUCCAGACUCCGACAGGAGGCAGCAGUGGGGAAUAUUGGACAAUGGGCGCAAGCCUGAUCCAGCCAUACCGCGUGGGUGAAGAAGGCCUUCGGGUUGUAAAGCCCUUUUGUUGGGAAAGAAAAGCAGCAGGUUAAUACCCCGCUGUUCUGACGGUACCCAAAGAAUAAGCACCGGCGAACUUCGU
rnacentral:rRNA from 1 species